UGUGUUAUCUUCUCUACUAUUGGCCAGCAUUAAAAUUAUUUUUUCUUAAAAACAUUUUUUUCUACCAAAAUUUUAGCUAAAUACUUCAAAUUUUGGUCAAAAAUACUUUUGACCAAAAAAAAUAUUUUUAACAAAAAAAAGUUUGGCCAAAUAUGCUAUUAGUUGAGUUAUUUCCUCUUUAUUUCUUCUACUUUAGAUUCCUCAUCUAGUCAGCUAUAAUCGUUGAUCCGACAAAGCUCUGGAAAGAAACAAUUUAAGAGUAAAAUAAAAAAUCUCAACGUGGCAAAAGUCAAAAAAUAAAAAUUCUAUCUUGUUAUAAAUAGAACUCUAUUUAAGGUGAAUGUCUAUAUUUAGAGAGAUUCUAGGGUUU
rnacentral:lncRNA from 1 species